rnacentral:snoRNA from 1 species
GAGAUUGUACUUCUAAGGAUCAGUCCUAUAGUACAUAUCACAAGGACGUUAAACAAACUAUAAAAUAAUCAUAUCGGUUUAAUAAUACUUUGA